UUCCCCUAGAACCUGUCUAGAAAUGAUGCUCAGCCUGGGCUUCUCUUAGAUCACCCUACUCUUCAGUGACAGCUCAGACACUGGACGGAGGGUUAUUCUGCUCCACAGGGGCUCCUUCUGGUGAAGGAAGUGUGUUGUCAUAUGCCAUCUCCUCCUGGCUCCCAUAAGCCAAUAUAGAGGAGGCUUAUGUUGGUAUGGAGAAAGCAACGCAUAAGGAGUCAAGAUAUAGGUUCAAGUCCUGCCUUCAUCCGAAAUUAGUGGUGGUGAAGUCAAACCUUCCUGCAUUUCUCAAGUCCCUGAAGCUUUUUCCUGUCCAAGGCAGCAACAGAGUUGGACCAGGUAAUCCAUAGCACACACCUUAAUGAGCUUAUUUGAUUUUAUGUGAAAAGGACAGAGAGUUCACGAUGUGGAAAUGCUGUUAUUAUUAUUUAAUAUAUCACGGUGUGCGUAUGAUAGCUUGCAGAACUUUUUCCAUCUUAGAAAGCAAGGCCUUUCUAAUUCUUCAGAUCCCCAGUGCUGGCUUGAGAGGCAUGGAAAAAGCUCAACACAAUGAGGGAGGGUGGAUGAACAUGCUGAUCCUGAAGUGUGCCUGUGAGGGUUAGGACAUAAUUCAUGAAUUGACCGUGGACUACGGAGAUAGAUGCACAUUAGGGUUUCCUGGAAACAAUUAACCUCAUCUAACAUGCUUCUGAAAACUUGCUGCACACAAACAGAAAGUGACGAUCCCCCAGGAGUCAGGGGGAUCAGUGUGUCUGGGAACCCGGCUGAUUGGUCCCCACAGUGAGAGUGCCAGGCCAGUCACAUCUCCACUCUGCACUUGUGUCCUCUGUGAUCUUGGGCCUCUUAUGAGGGCUGAAAGAGAUGAUCCACAGGGUGCAAGGAUGAAGGACAAGGUGUCCAGGGCCCAGCUCCAGGCCCAGCAGUAGCCCAGGGAUUGCCGGCUGACUCUGAGCUGUGUGCUCCUAAAGGACACUCCCUUGUUAUAUGCCAUGUUUAUGGACAGAACCUUAGAGCAAGUCAUGGUCAUAGUAGAAUGGGCUGGGCCCUGCAGAGCUCUGGGCCUGGUUGAACAAGUGUGGGUGUGCAUGAGGCACCCACAGCACCUCCCACCUAUUCUCUGGAGCUCGCAUUUGUGUUUCCUUUUGGCCCUUGGAGAAUGAUCUGAGAUGCUGCUCUGGGCACAGCUUUGUGACCCAGAGUAGUUCUGUCUCCUCAAGUCAGAACUCCCUCACCUUCAAGACACACAUCAGAGGGCCUGGGGUUUGGGUCUGGCUGGGCUUGGGGCUGGAAGUCUGCAUUCCUCACCUGCACCAGGUGAGGCCUUGAUGUGGCUGGGGGCACAUUUGCAAGGUGAGACUGAGAGAGGAGAGAGCCAUAGCCUGCUACUGCACCUUUGCUUUGCUUCUCUGGGUGGUCAACAGGGCCUGGUGUCCCCGGGUUGAGGCUCCACCUGUCCCCUUGGCAUCUCCACUAAUCAUCCCCUCCCAAGGAAACUGAGGCCUGUGAAGCGCCUAAGGUCACCCACUAAUUAGUGGCAGAGACACUGGGGGCAGGUUCCAUGACGACACUGCGCCCACACAGUGAGUGAAGUGCAGAACUUGGGCAGUAAUUGGGACACACAUGCCAAGGGCCUUGUGCUCAGCUUUCUGCACAGAUCAAAUGUCUCUCAGAUGUUUACACUCCCACCCACCAACUUCUCCC
ensembl:lncRNA